CUAGCAUGCAAUAAUGUUAACUUAAGUCAGCAUAGCUUGAGCCCAAUUAGCACACAAUUAACCAGGUGGAAACACUAGGAGUCAAAAUUUAGCACACACCAAUCAGAACCUGCGAUGGAUAGAUAAAAGGGCCAAAGUCAGCUCAUUCAGGUUUGAAACAAUGGAUCCAAAGAGAUGCAAAGGAAGAGGACGUGGUGGAGAAAGAGGACGUGGUGAAGGAGGAGGACGUGGUGGAGAAAGAGGACGUGGUGAAGGAGGAGGACGUGGUGGAGAAAGAGGACGUGGUGAAGGAGGAGGACGUGGUGGAGAAAGAGGACGUGGUGAAGGAGGAGGACGUGGUGGAGAAAGAGGACAUGGUGAAAGAGGAGGACGUGGUGGAAGAGGAGGAGGAGGUGGUGAAGGAGGUGGAGGUGGAGAACGACGGCGACAAGGAAGGGGAAGAGCAAGGGCACGAAGACAGUCAGUCUCGGAUGAAAUUCGAGCCACUUUAGUUGACCAUGUCCUUGUCCAUGGGAUGACUAUGAGGGAGGCUGGGCAACGAGUACAACCAAAUUUGAGUCGCUUCACUGUUGCCUCCAUCAUCAGAACCUUCAGGGAGGAAAACAGGACACAGAGACGACCACCUGGUGGAGGCAGGUUAAGGCUUUUGUCGGAGGAGCAAGAGAGGGAACUUGUAAACAUGGUAAUUGCAAAUAAUGUAAUCCGCCUGCAAGAGAUUCAAAGGAGAGUGAUUGAGGAUGAUCAUCUUUUUCGAGGCAUAAAUGCCAUCAGCCUCUCCACAAUUGACCGCAUCCUCCGAAAGAAUCAAUUCCGGAUGAAACAGGCAUACCGAGUCCCUUUCGAGCGAAACUCUGACAGAGUGAAAAACCAACGUGUGGAAUAUGUUCAGAGAAUCUUUGAGAUUGAAGGACGGCCUGUUCCCCAUGAAAUGAUCUUUGUGGAUGAGGCAGGUUUUAACCUGACCAAAAGAAGGAAAAGGGG
ensembl:lncRNA